rnacentral:pre_miRNA from 1 species
UGAACUUUCCCAGGAAUAAGUCUUUCUUUGUUAUGUCAGACUUACUCCCGGGAGUUCUC